CUUAUUUCCGCUUCCGUGGCGUAGCGUGACGUGACGUGACGGCGCGGCAACAACAACAAGUACAAGUCCGAGUCAAUUUCCUUCCCGGUCUGCUGCUGAUAAUUGCUGACAAACUUCGAGGAAGCAUUCCCUCGAACCAUUUGUACAUCUUACGCUAAAAUAUGUCGAUCUCUGUUGAUCAUAUCAAAGAUAAACUGAGCAAGGAACUCCAACCUGUUCAUAUAGAGGUGGUGGAUGAAUCUGAUGGCUGCGGUGGAAAAUUCAAUGUGAUUGUUGUUUCUGAUAAGUUUGAAGGGAAGCCACUUCUUCAACGCCAUCGGCUGGUUAAUUCAAUAUUAGAAGAGGAACUGAAAGUCAUCCAUGCAUUUUCACAAAAAACAUUGACACCAGAACAGUGGGCUAAGCAAAGCUCUCAGUAAUUAUCCAGUAGGAGAGGUCAGCAGCGUGCAACACUUCCAUGACUACCAUGGAGACUUUAAAGAACCUUCCAUCCAAAUUUAGCAUCUCCGUUCCAGGGAAGGUCAUUUUACUGGGAGAACAUUCCGUUGUCUAUGGCCAUCUUGCUAUAGCAGCAAGUCUUAAUCUACGGUCGAAACUCGAAUACACCUGUUUCGAUGAACUCAAUGAAAAUGACUUUGUUCAUAUAAAACUGCCUAAUAUUAAGCUAGACAUCUCAUUAUCUUCUA
rnacentral:misc_RNA from 1 species